GCUUACUGCCGUACCACCCUGAGCACGCGCCGAUCUCGUCUAAUCUCGGAAGCUAAGCAGGGUCGGGCCUGGUUAGUACUUAGAUGGGAGACCGCCUGGGAAUCCCAGAUGCUGUAAGCU
ensembl:rRNA 5S_rRNA 5S ribosomal RNA